rnacentral:rRNA from 1 species
UACGGAGGGGGCUAGCGUUGUUCGGAAUUACUGGGCGUAAAGCGCACGUAGGCGGCUUUGCAAGUUAGAGGUGAAAGCCCCGGGGCUCAACUCCGGAAUUGCCUUUAAAACUGCAUCGCUAGAAUUGUGGAGAGGUAAGUGGAAUUCCGAGUGUAGAGGUGAAAUUCGUAGAUAUUCGGAAGAACACCAGUGGCGAAGGCGACUUACUGGACACAUAUUGACGCUGAGGUGCGAAAGCGUGGGGAGCAAACAGG